rnacentral:rRNA from 1 species
AUUUCUAGAGAUAGAAAGUUACUUCGGUACAUCGGUGACAGGUGGUGCAUGGUUGUCGUCAGCUCGUGUCGUGAGAUGUUGGGUUAAGUCCCGCAACGAGCGCAACCCCUAUUGUUAGUUGCCAUCAUUCAGUUUGGGCACUCUAGCGAGACUGCCGGUAAUAAACCGGAGGAAGGUGGGGAUGACGUCAAAUCAUCAUGCCCCUUAUGACCUGGGCUACACACGUGCUACAAUGGUUGGUACAACGAGUUGCGAGUCGGUGACGGCGAGCUAAUCUCUUAAAGCCAAUCUCAGUUCGGAUUGUAGGCUGCAACUCGCCUACAUGAAGUCGGAAUCGCUAGUAAUCGCGGAUCAGCACGCCGCGGUGAAUACGUUCCCGGGCCUU